rnacentral:rRNA from 1 species
AUACAGAGGGUGCAAGCGUUAUUCGGAAUUACUGGGCGUAAAGCGCGCGUAGGCGGAUGAUUAAGUCAGUUGUGAAAGCCCUGGGCUCAACCUAGGAACUGCAUCUGAUACUGGUCGUCUAGAGUUUAAGAGAGGGAAGUGGAAUUACAGGUGUAGCAGUGAAAUGCGUAGAUAUCUGGAGGAACAUCAGUGGCGAAGGCGACUUCCUGGCUUAAAACUGACGCUGAGGUGCGAAAGCGUGGGUAGCGAACGGGAUUAGAAACCCUAGUAGUCC